GAUGAACGCUAGCGGGAGGCUUAACACAUGCAAGUCGAGGGGCAGCAUUUCCUUCGGGAAGAUGGCGACCGGCGCACGGGUGCGUAACGCGUAUGCAACCUGCCUUGUACAGGGGGAUAGCCCAUGGAAACGUGGAUUAAUACCCCAUCGGACCGCAAAUUCGCAUGUUUUUGCGGUUAAAACUACGGUGGUACAAGAUGGGCAUGCGUAGGAUUAGCUAGUAGGUGGGGCAACGGCCCACCUAGGCGACGAUCCUUAGGGGUUCUGAGAGGAUUACCCCCCACACUGGUACUGAGACACGGACCAGACUCCUACGGGAGGCAGCAGUGAGGAAUAUUGGUCAAUGGGCGCGAGCCUGAA
rnacentral:rRNA from 1 species